CUCCGCAUCGAAAGGAGCCAGCUGAGGUGGUUCGGGCAUCUGACAAGGAUGCCCCCUGGGCGCCUCCUGGGUGAGGUGUUCCAGGCAUGUCCCACCGGGAGGAGGCCCCGGGGCAGACCCAGGACACGCUGGAGAGAUUAUAUCUCUCGGCUGGCCUGGGAACGCCUUGGUGUUCCCCCGGAUAAGCUGGAGGAGGUGGCUGGGGAGAGGGAGGUCUGGGCCUCUUUGCUUAGGCUGCUGCCCCCGCGACCCGGCUCCGGAUAAAGCGGAUGAAGAUGGAUGGAUGGAAGCGCGUCCAUGCUCACAGGUGUACACACGGGUGAUCACACCCACAAACUACACCCUUUUUGGCUCCUACCUCAAAGCACACUGUGUUCUGUUGAUCCUAUGUGCUGCACAAUAAUGUUUAAUAUUUAGUAUUUACUGUCAUAUUCCCAUAUAUCAUUGUGAUGUUGUUUAUUCUAUUACUCUUGUUCUCUUCUGCUUGUUUUCUUUUUUCUUUCUCAACAGGUGAUCCAGGUGAUCGAUAGAUGCAUUUUUUUUUCUUUUUCUGCCCAUUCUGUUGGUUUUUGUUUUUUUGCCCUUCUCCCCUAUCCCUCUUCUCAGCUCUUUCUCUUUCUUUCUCCCCUUCUUUCCCCCAGUCAAGUCUGUCCCGUAUUCAACAAGUGAAAAUAAAAUAAACAAUAAAAGGUGAAUCAAAUGGACCAUUACGGCAAGGCUGGGAUGGUCAAUUUGGUAAAGUAAAUCCGUUGGGCAUCUUUCUUUGCCUUUAGACAAUAAUUCUGAUGGCAAAAGAGCCAAACGGGACAGGCAAAAAAAAAAAAAAAAGUCCUCUCUCCUCAACAUCUCUAUACCACCACAGAUAUGUCAUGUGGACCAACUGCCUUUCCUCUCUUCAUAGCUGCCUUCACUUCCUCCUUACUUAUCCCCUGCGCUUCCUGAUUCACUAACUUUCCUCCAUCUGUCCUCAGUUUCUGUCUUUAUUAAUGUCUUCAUUAAUGAAGACAGUGAGAGAAUACUUCUAUCUUCCAUCUUCUCAACACACUCUCUUCACCAUCUUUAUCCUUAAUCACUCUAACCUGCUGCACAUCCUUUUCAGCUCAAUCUCUGUAUAGCUAAUUCAUGCAAGUACUGUUCUCCUUCCUUAGUACCCAGCCUCACGUACAACUCAGUAUAAGCUUUUUCCUUUGCCACCUCUAUCUUUGCAGUUGGCCUGGCCUCCCAGUAUUCCUGUCUACUUUUAUCCAUCUCCCCUGACUAUCGCACUUUCUCUUAGCUAUUCCUUUGAGGAACUACAGGAAAGUGUCCAAUCCACCACCAAGUCUCCUUGUCCUCUUUUCUCUCUCCAAAAGAUACACCAAACACCUUCUUUGCCUUUCUCUCACCAUUUCAGUUGUAUUUUUCCAGUCAUCUGGUAACACUUCCCUUCC
ensembl:lncRNA